rnacentral:rRNA from 1 species
UAGGGAAUCUUCGGCAAUGGACGAAAGUCUGACCGAGCAACGCCGCGUGAGUGAAGAAGGUUUUCGGAUCGUAAAACUCUGUUGUUAGAGAAGAACAAGGACGUUAGUAACUGAACGUCCCCUGACGGUAUCUAACCAGAAAGCCACGGCUAACUACGUGCCAGCAGCCGCGGUAAUACGUAGGUGGCAAGCGUUGUACGGAUUUAUUGGGCGUAAAGCGAGCGCAGGCGGUUUCUUAAGUCUGAUGUGAAAGCCCCCGGCUCAACCGGGGAGGGUCAUUGGAAACUGGGAGACUUGAGUGCAGAAGAGGAGAGUGGAAUUCCAUGUGUAGCGGUGAAAUGCGUAGAUAUAUGGAGGAACACCAGUGGCGAAGGCGGCUCUCUGGUCUGUAACUGACGCUGAGGCUCGAAAGCGGGGGGAGCAAACAGG